rnacentral:piRNA from 1 species
UAUACCUUGUUCUGUAUGCUUCCCAGUACC